rnacentral:rRNA from 1 species
UGGGGAAUUUUCCGCAAUGGUCGAAAGCCUGACGGAGCAAUACCGCGUGAGGGAGGAAGGCUUUUGGGUUGUAAACCUCUUUUCGCAAGGAAGAAGAUCUGACGGUACUUGAGGAAUCAGCAUCGGCUAACACCGUGCCAGCAGCCGCGGUAAUACGGAGGAUGCAAGCGUUAUCCGGAAUGAUUGGGCGUAAAGCGUCUGCAGGUGGCUAUGCAAGUCUGCUGUUAAAGAGUGGAGCUCAACUCCAUAAGGGCAGUUGAAACUGCGUUACUAGAGUACGUUCGGGGUAGAGGGAAUUCCUGGUGUAGCGGUGAAAUGCUUAGAUAUCAGGAAGAACACCGGUGGCGAAAGCGCUCUACUAGGCCGUAACUGACACUGAGGGACGAAAGCUAAGGGAGCGAAUGGGAUUAGAUACCCGUGUAGUCC